UAUUGUAAUGGUUGCUUAUCUAUUUUGUAUUUCUCAUUUGACUAGUGUUUUAGUUUGGUUAAAUUAGCUCCAGCAGCAACACCUGUUGAAUGAAUGCCUAGAAUGUGAAUGUGCUCCUAACCUGGCUGCUUUUGAUAAGUGUGCAUAUGCUAUUGUGAAUGCUUCAGAAGAUAUAGAACAGACGUUAUGAACUUGGGCGUUGGAAAGGGUGUGCUCCAAGGAGAAGUUCCUUUUCCUCUGCUGGAAAUUGUUGAAAUCACAAAUAUGUCUGCUUAUGCUUGCAUCUUCUGUUUACGACUUAUUUAUAUUAUGGUUAUGUUGCUUGUGUUUGGAUUGCAUUGUCCUUAUUUGGGUUUCCCCAUGACCUUGUCCACUUCUUUAUUCUAUAAAUAUUAUUCUUAACUUCCUGUAUUUCUGGAUGAUAGAUCUUGUAAGAAUAUUGAGUGUUAUAACUUAGUAUAACAACAAUGUGUCCUAACGGUAUGUGUACAUGGUUUAAAUCUAGGCUUAAUACCCAAUUUGAUACCUAUACUUGCACAAUUUUCAAAUAGACAUCUCAACUUGGUUAGAACACACGUUUUAAACACCUCCGGCCCUUAGUGUUCCUCACUUGCCUUGAUGGAGAACAUAUCAGAUCCACGUCAGGUGAAUUCAUGCCACUUUAUCACUAUCUUGUAGGACAAAGAAAAACUUUUUGUCUUUUCUUCUCCAUUUUUCUUCCUCCAAUGUUGAAGUUUAAGCUUUUUAAUUUGUCUUCACCAUUAUUGAUGUCUAAAUCUCUCUUUCCUCUCUAAAAUGUUUAGUAAAUCCUGAAUUUGACCCCAUAGGCAAGUUUACGCAAGAUUACAUAGAAGCUGCAAAUUCCUUUCCCUUUACUCGCUUUUCUUUUUUCCUUCAGAUCUCUCCCAAGGUUUUUCAAUCAGUGGAGAUAUCCCCAGACUUAAGUAACCUCCUGUUAAUGCAUAACAUUUAGUUUCAAAAUAUCUGAUACAGAAUCUUAUCUCCAACCUAAAAUUAAUUACUACUGGUGUGCUUUAUUAGGUAAUUUAAGGCUGUACCAGACAUUUUCUUCUUCUUAAAUAGGCUUCACAGUUAACACCCAGAUCAGUAUCACUACUGGGUUAGAUUGAGAAGCCUUUAGGCUUUGAAGAAGAGAAAACCAACAAUGGGGACCCAAAAAAGAAGUUUUGCAUGUGGGCUGAAGCUUCUAAAAGGGGAAAAGGGCGAGAGAUACGAAACAGGGAAAUUGAGGUUGACAAUGAAGGGUUGCUUCUAUAUCAGAUGUUUGACUCAGAUGUUCAAAAAUGGAGGAAUGGUGGAGGAUUUCUUGCUGUUGGUAGCUAUAUUUUUCAGCUUCGCUCCUAAAGUCAUGUAUACCAUGCACUUUGUCCAAUUCAUCCAUAUCAAUGCCACAUAAGCUCGGUCAAUUGUCAGAGGCAUUUAAAACAAUAGGUUUGUACGGGUUUAUGUGUCUGGUUGAACCCAUGGAGAUGAAGGGCUGAGAAUAGAAAUCUUUACAAGUACGAAUGUCAAUUUGGGUAUUAAGCGUUAAUUCUAUUAAGCCACUGUAACUCCAUUUCAUGGGCUCUUAUCUUUAAAAUAAUUUCUCUCUAUUAAGUUGUGAUUCUUCGAGUUAACAAAGAACCAACCGACCAGGAUCAAGAUCUUGAAACGAAAACGUGGUUUGUGGGUCGAUUUCAAGAAACAAUGUAUCUCAAGUUUUAGGACUCGGAAUCUAAUGAUUCAAAAACGAGGUGAAAGAUAACGAUCUGAACUAUAAGAAAGACUAUUUACUCAUUCAAAACAAGUAAAUAUUGAUGCUGCACCAGUUCAAUAAAAGUUAUGAUUCUAUGAUAUCAAAAGAACGAAUUUAGAUCAAGAAACGUGUUCUUGAAAGAUCAAGAACUAAACAAGUUCCUAAAGUCGCCACUUGGAAGCAAUUAACGUGAUAAAGAAACACCACACGCAACCGAAAACAAGAUAAAGACUUCACCACCUUGCUUGGAACCAAAAACAAGGAUAAAGAAGACAAAAUAGAGAAGAACACUCUACUGUAAAACUAGGGCAAGCCUUAACAACGUGAAUUCUUUUCUUCUACAAGGAAAGAGAACUCUUUUUUGAUGUCUACAAUUCCUAUUCUAUAAGAAAAUAAAAUAACUAAAGACAAGAAAAGUAAAAUCCCUAUUCUACAAAGAAAAGAAACUAGAAUCCUACUAAAAGGAAAAUCCUUAUUCUAAAAGGAAUAAAAUAAAUCAUAUUUUAAGAAUGAAAGAAUCUUGACUUCUUGAAUUCAAUCUUGAGCUUCUUGGACUUCUUGCGCUUCUUGAAAAUAAGUCCAUAUUUUUGGACUUGAGCUCUAAAACAUGAUCUUUGCCACAAUUAAUAAAAUUUAACAUAGAUUCUAUGUUUACAUCAUUCUCCCCUGGUUGAGAAGACUCGUCCUCGAGUCUAAAGGCUCCACAAAUGGCACAAGAUUGACAACUUCCAUGAUUUUGUUGAACUCAUAUUCACCAGGCUCUAAGUUGUAUUUGUCUAACUUGUCAAAGAGUUUCAUCGUAUUGUAACAAAGUUUAGCAUGUGGCCGAACUAAAUCACACUUUCUCAAUAGUAUCUUUGUACCAAUAUUUCUACAAUGAAUCCUCUUAAAUCUAUUUUUAACUUCCCAUAACCAUAAGUUAUUUUCUUUUGAUCUUCAAGAAUCCUGAACUUCUCCAUGUCAAUGUGGUACUUAUGGGAUAUGCCCAAAAAAGUUGAUUUAGUGCCACAAAAACCUUUAAAAGAAUCAAAUUCAAGUACCUUUGGAUCAAGCUUGGAGAUUGAAGUAUAUCUUCUUGAGAAUUCAUCAGCAACAACAACUCUCAUAUUUAACUAUAUCAAAGUCAUAACCAUUGAUGGAAUUUGUGUUAAGAUUUCCUGUUCCUACAUAUGCUUGAAAAUAUUCAUUCUUUGGAGGUAAGAAAAAAGCUGGAAUAAAAUAUGAACUCAAACCCUCCAUUAUGAACUCCUCUUUAAGCAACCCUUUCUCUCGUAUUUGCAAAAUUUCAUGGACUUCUGGAUUAAUGCAAUAUGUUACCUCGUUUGGAAAGAUAAAAUCAACAAUCAAAUCAAUAUUAUGUUGAGCAUCUCUAUUAGGUGAAAAGUUAAGCACACAUAUGGGAUGCUCCAACGGAUCAUCAUGAAACUUCAAAGGUAAAUCCUCAACUUGUGGAUCUAGUGCAUGCUCCUCCUCCUUGUGCUCUUCCAUAGUAAUACCAACAUUCAAAGACUUUUCUCUAUUGAUUGGACCAAUUGUUUGUAAUUUGGUGACAAAAGAGUCAUUCUUGGGCUUCAGAUUUUUAGCAAUUUCUUCGGGAUUCAAUGGUACUAAAAUAACCUUACGUUCAUCCUUUAUAAAAGAAUAGGUGUUAAGGUCUUCAUCAUAUUUAGCACACAUUUCAUACACGCAUCGAUGCUUGUAAUAAGUGACAAGCAUCCAUCUUCACUACGUCACACCAAAUAUGGUCUUUAUAGAUCUUACCAAUAGAAAAAGAUAUUAGGCAUUGACAAGUUACCUCUAAACCAUCAUCAUCUUCAACUUCGAUGCUGUAAGGAUAUGGAUGAAGUUUGGUUGACAAACCAAGUUUAGUAGCCAUCUCUUCAGAAAUGAUAUUUAUGUGACUCCCAUGAUCAAUGAUCAACGAACAGACUUUUCCAUAGGAGAUACAUCUGGUGUGGAAAAGAGAUUCUUGUUGCCACUGUUCUUUAUCUUCUUGAACCAAGAAUGUUCCUCUUGGUUGAAUCUUGGCCAUGAUAAAUUCGCAACCUGCGACCUGUGAAUUAUAGCUCUGAUACCAAAUUGAUGUGAUUCUUCGAGUUAACAAAGAACCAACCGACCAGGAUCAAGAUCUUGAAACGAAAACGUGGUUUGUGGGUCGAUUUCAAGAAACAAUGUAUCUCAAGUUUUAGGACUCGGAAUCUAAUGAUUCAAAAACGAGGUGAAAGAUGACGAUCUGAACUAUAAGAAAGACUAUUUACUCAUUCAAAACAAGUAAAUAUUGAUGAUGCACCAGUUCAAUAAAAGUAAUGAUUCUCUGAUAUCAAAAUAACAAAUUUUGAUCAAGAAACAUGUUCUUGAAAGAUCAAGAACUAAACAAGUUCCUAAAGUCACCACUUGGAAUCAAUUAACGUGAAUAAGAAACACCACACGCAACUGAAAACAAGAUAAAGACUAUCAGCACCUUGCUUGGAACCAAAAACAAAGAUAAAGAAGACAAAAUAGAGAAAAACACUAUUGUAAAACUAGGUCAAGCGUCAAAAAAUGUGAAUUAUUUUCUUCUACAAGGCAAGAGAACCCUUUAUAUAGGCUUAGGUCUCUUCUUUGAUGUCUACAAUUCCUAUUCUAAUAAGAAAAUAAAAUAACUAAAGACAAGAAAAGUAAAAUCCCUAUUCUACAAAGAAAAGAAACUAGAAUCCUACUAAAAGGAAAAUCCUUAUUCUAAAAGGAAUAAAAUAAAUCCUAUCUUAAGAAGGAAGGAAUCUUGACUUCUUGAAAUCAAUCUUGAGCUUCUUGGACUUCUCGCACUUCUUGAAAAUAAGUCCAUAUGUUUGGACUUGAGCUCUAAAACAUGAUCUUUGCCACAAUUAAUAAAAUUUAACAUAGAUUCUUCGUUUACAUCAUCUCUCUUCUUGAACUCUUCGUCUAGUCAAGUACAACAAAGCAAAUUGUUAUGGAGCUACUUUUGGGAUGCUUUAUGAACUGGUAUACAAUUUACUGGGAAAGGGUAUUCUCAUAUAUCAUUUAAUUCAACUCCAAGUGAGAAUAUCUCAUUAUUCAUAAUUUACUGGUUUUAAAUCAUUGUCAGAGUUCAUGCAUCUCCUAGUCUGUUGUUUUUCCCCUGACAAAAUAAAUUAUGAUUUUCUGUUGUGCUCCCCCCCCCCCCCCCCCCC